rnacentral:rRNA from 1 species
CCUACGGGUGGCAGCAGUGGGGGAUAUUGCACAAUGGGGGAAACCCUGAUGCAGCGACGCCGCGUGCGUGAAGAAGUAUUUCGGUAUGUAAAGCUCUAUCAGCAGGGAAGAAAAUGACAGUACCUGACCAAGAAGCCCAGGCUAACUACGUGCCAGCAGCCGCGGUAAUACGGAGGGGGCAAGCGUUAUCCGGAUGUACUGGGUGUAAAGGGAGCGUAGACGGUUAUGUAAGUCUGGAGUGAAAGUCCGGGGCCCAACCCCGGAACUGCGUUGGAAACUGUGGAACUGGAGUACAGGAGGGGUAGGCGGAAUGCCUGGUGUAGCGGUGAAAUGCGUAGAUAUCAGGAGGAACACCGGCGGCGAAGGCAGCCUGCUGGACUGAAACUGACGUAGAGGCUCGAAAGCGUGGGGAGCAAACAGGAUUAGAUACCCGAGUAGUC